rnacentral:rRNA from 1 species
UACGUAGGGUGCAAGCGUUGUCCGGAAUUAUUGGGCGUAAAGAGCUCGUAGGCGGUUUGUCGCGUCUGCUGUGAAAAUCCAGGGCUUAACCCUGGACCUGCAGUGGGUACGGGCAGACUGGAGUGCGGUAGGGGAGAUCGGAAUUCCGGGUGUAGCGGUGGAAUGCGUAGAGAUCCGGAAGAACACCGGUGGCGAAGGCGGCCUGCUGGGCAGUUGCUGACACUGAGGCGCGACAGCGUGGGGAGCAAACAGG